UUGUCCUGGCCUAUGCUUUCUCAGCUCCCCUGGGCGCAGCUAUAAUGGGGGAGUCUGGCAGGACACACAGGCAUCUCCCUCUCAGUGCAGGGGGGCCAUCCUAAGUGAAGGGCUGACUCUUAAAGGCACUAGAGGAUAAU